UACGUAGGGGGCAAGCGUUGUCCGGAAUCAUUGGGCGUAAAGCGCGUGUAGGCGGCCCGAUAAGUCCGCUGUAAAAGUCCAGGGCUCAACCCUGGAAUGCCGGUGGAUACUGUCGGGCUCGAGUCCGGAAGAGGCGAGUGGAAUUCCUGGUGUAGCGGUGAAAUGCGCAGAUAUCAGGAGGAACACCGAUGGCGAAGGCGGCGUCCUGGACCAAUACUGACACUGAUGAGCGAAAGCCAGGGGAGCAAACGGG
rnacentral:rRNA from 1 species